CCAAGCGAAGGACUUACAUAGAGCUGGCCCUUAGUGGGCUAUACCUGUUACAUUGCAAAGGAGUCAAAGUCCAAAGGGCAGACGGUCAUCCGACUGCUGCUCAAGGUCCCACAAUCCAUCUAGUGUCCAGACCAGAGCACCCGGGCCUGCCCAGGGGAGGCCACGCGCGAGGCCCCCAGACUCUGAGGCCCGGAGACAGGUUUGUCGAGGUUUGGGGGUGGUCGGUGAGCCCGCGGCGCGUCUGAGGCCGAGGAUCAGAGCGAGCUGGACAGAAACUGAAGCACAGCACUGACCCGCGCUGGGAGGCCCGCCGGAGGAGGCCCAGUCCGGCGGAGCCUCCGGGAGCCGAGAACGUCUAGAGUCAGACACACGGGCGGGACUAACCGGGGCGCGGGGUGGAGCCUGCCGUCCGGGGCUGGGCUGGGUGCUGCCGGGUGGGCCUGCGGCCGCGGUCCUAGCUCCUCCCAGUUCCCCGCGGCCCGGCCGGCGCCCUGCUCCGAGGAGAAGCGCCUGCUUCCUUACUGGGUGGCCCAGUAAAUGUUUCUCUGACCUCACCAGUGUCUCCGCUCACAAGGAAGGGAGCAAAGCGUUGUCCCAGGAUCCCACAGCGCCUUUUCCAGAGGGCUGAAAACAGUCGGUUCUGCUGCUUUUCCUCAGAGGGCUCACGUGCUUACACUGGCCUGCCCAGAUAAUCCAGGGUGAUGUCCCUCUUCUAAGGAGAACUGGUUAGUAACCCUAGUUACAUCUGUGAAGCCCCCUUGAAGAUAGGAACCACAGGAUUCACAUCGAUGGUGGAGGUCAUGGCAGUAGUGGGGGCAAAAUUCUGCCUGCCGUAGCCCCUGAUGACCUAGGUGUGUGUCUCGUGGAGUCACCCGUUGUCACUUUCCUCCUUGUCUGAGUGGGGAUGGCCAGGGUGGUCGUGGUGGACAGUGGUCGUGGUGACUCCUGGGUGUCAUGGCUUCUGUGGGACACCUUGGCUGAUACUCAGGAGUCUUCAAAUGGUGAAGACUUCGUGGGGCCCUCUGAGAACCAGCAGAGAGCCUCCUGGCAGCUCUUACCUCUCCACAUUGAGACACUGGCCUACAUUGUGUGUUCUUCCUUCCCAAAAAGAAGACAAACACACACACUUCCCAGAGGCCCCUGCCAGCACGGGACGUAGCUUCCGCCGAUCAGAGGUGCUGCCCAAGACUUGAGCGCCCGUGUGGGCAGUGUGCGUGGGCCGCGUGAAGGAAGUGGAUCCCUGGCAAGCAAGUGUGAGAGCAGCGGCCGCGCCUGUUCUGCUGGGGUGGUUCGGGGAAGCCUCGACCCAGAGGUGGGCUGUGCUGGCAGCUGUGUUUUCGCUAGAACAGUCCCAUGGGGGGAGUGGGUGGGCCUUCUGGCUGCCGCGGUCCGGGUCUAGUACAGCACCCAAGCCUGAUUCUCUGGUCCUGCCAGCCAGCGGUUUGCAACAGGGUGCAAUUUACUAUUUGCAACUAAGUAGAUUCUGUUUGCAACAAAGUGAAAUCUGCUGUUUGUCACAGAGCAGCGUACAAGGUUCGCAGUUAAGAAUCCUGCCUGGUACGCACUCUUCGGUGGGACUGAUUCUCCCACCUCCAGUGGACACUGUUAAUGGGCUACCUGGUCUCUCUUGAAGCCCUUCUGCUUCCUUGUGCCUUGCCAACAGGAGCCUGAUUUUGUUCAGGCAAUGUGCCCAACGUUGGCGGAUGACUUGUAGUUUCAGGCUGUCAUGACCAACACAGUCCUUUUUUGAAGAUACGUGCUUUUUCACCCUCACCUGUGGUGAAUUUCUGGCCAGUGGUAAAGAAGGGCUUCUAGGACUUUUUCCUCCCUUUUCUUGUUUAGCUGUUUCUUGCCUUGAAUGGGGUUGUGUAAAGAUGAAAUGCUUGGGACCAUAGCAGCUCUCUUGUGAUUGUGAGGCAAUAAGGUUAAUGAUUAAAAAAACCCAAAGAAACAGUAAAGACAGCAAGAGGAAAGAUGGGAUGUCAGUCCUUGAAGACAUUAUCUAACCACUGAACCAACGCCAGCAACUGUUUCCCUCCAGACUCCUUGUUCCAAGAGAAAAUGGAACCCGUUGUAUUUAAGCCAUGAUUAACUGUAUAUUGUACUUAAGGCUCAAAAGCAUUCCUGAUACAGGCCUGCGCUCACAGGCGUGGUUUAGAGUUAACCCCGUUUGCGUUUUCUUCAGUGUAGAGUAUCAGAUUCCCCACUGUCCUCAAAAUCAUGCCCUCCAAAAGUGAGUCCUCAUUUUCCUCAGGGGUGAGCUUUCUCAUAGGAGAUGGCAAUCCGCCUAUGUGGCUGGCCCAGUCCCUCCCAUCCUGAUGAGUACAAACACCAGCACUGGCCACCCCCACAACU